AAAUAAUUUGUCAAACAAGAUUAUUCGCCAGAGAACUACUAGCAACAGCUUAAAACUCAAAGGACUUGGCGGUGCUUUAAACCCCCCUAGAGGAGCCUGUUCUGUAAUCGAUAAACCCCGAUAGACCUCACCACCCCUUGCUAAUUCAGUUUAUAUACCGCCAUCUUCAGCAAACCCUUAAAAGGAACAAGAGUAAGCAUAAUCAUCUCGCAUAAAAAAGUUAGGUCAAGGUGUAACCCAUGGGGUGGGAAGAAAUGGGCUACAUUUUCUAUUUAAGAACACCUUACGAAAGUUUUUAUGAAACUAAAAACUAAAGGUGGAUUUAGUAGUAAACCAAGAAUAGAGAG
rnacentral:rRNA from 1 species